GUGUUGUAUGAAAGGAGAGAUGUUUAGCACUCCCCUAGACAAGGACGGACAACAUAUGUAAUGGUAAGGCACUGUCGUCAUUUGGCGACACUUACCACACAUUUUUU
rnacentral:ncRNA from 1 species